rnacentral:rRNA from 1 species
GCUGAAGCCUGGUGCUUGCACCGGGUGGAUGAGUGGCGAACGGGUGAGUAACACGUGAGUAACCUGCCCCUGACUUCGGGAUAAGCCCGGGAAACUGGGUCUAAUACCGGAUACGACUGCCGGACGCAUGUCUGGUGGUGGAAAGUUUUUUCGGUUGGGGAUGGGCUCGCGGCCUAUCAGUUUGUUGGUGAGGUAAUGGCUCACCAAGACGACGACGGGUAGCCGGCCUGAGAGGGCGACCGGCCACACUGGGACUGAGACACGGCCCAGACUCCUACGGGAGGCAGCAGUGGGGAAUAUUGCACAAUGGGGGAAACCCUGAUGCAGCGACGCAGCGUGCGGGAUGACGGCCUUCGGGUUGUAAACCGCUUUCAGCAGGGAAGAAGCGCAAGUGACGGUACCUGCAGAAGAAGUACCGGCUAACUACGUGCCAGCAGCCGCGGUAAUACGUAGGGUACGAGCGUUGUCCGGAAUUAUUGGGCGUAAAGAGCUCGUAGGUGGUUGGUCACGUCUGCUGUGGAAACGCAACGCUUAACGUUGCGCGUGCAGUGGGUACGGGCUGACUAGAGUGCAGUAGGGGAGUCUGGAAUUCCUGGUGUAGCGGUGAAAUGCGCAGAUAUCAGGAGGAACACCGGUGGCGAAGGCGGGACUCUGGGCUGUAACUGACACUGAGGAGCGAAAGCAUGGGGAGCGAACAGGAUUAGAUACCCUGGUAGUCCAUGCCGUAAACGUUGGG